rnacentral:rRNA from 1 species
AUUGAACGCUGGCGGCAGGCUUAACACAUGCAAGUCGAACGAGUGGCGGACGGGUGAGUAAUGUCUGGGAAACUGCCUGAUGGAGGGGGAUAACUACUGGAACCGGUAGCUAAUACCGCAUACCAUCAGAUGUGCCCCGCUGGGAUUAGCUUGUUGGUGGGGUAAUGGCUCACCAAGGCGACGAUCCCUAGUUGGUCUGAGAGGAUGACAGGCCAAACUGGAACUGAGACACGGUCCAGACUCCUAGGGGAGGAAGGAGUGGGGAAGAGUGCACAAUGGGAGCAAGCCGGAGGCAGCCAUGCCGCGUGUAUGAAUAAGGCAUUCGGGUUGUAAAGUACUUUCAGCGGGGAGGCGGUAGCCGCAGAAGAAGCACCGGCUAACUCCGUGCCAGCAGCCGCGGUAAUUC